GACUCUCGGCAACGGAUAUCUCGCUCACGCAUCGAUGAAGAACGUAGCAAAAUGCGAUACUUGGUGUGAAUUGCAGAAUCCCGUGAACCAUCGAGUUUUUGAACGCAAGUUGCGCCCGGAAGCCAUUCGGUUGAGGGCACGUCUGCCUGGGCGUCC
rnacentral:rRNA from 11 species